GGGGGCGUAACGGUUUCGACGGGUGUCGUAUCGUACGCUUGCAUGUGGAGCUGGUCAGCGCGCUCCUAAAACACGUUGGCAAAAAAAUAAAUGA
rnacentral:tmRNA from 1 species